rnacentral:rRNA from 1 species
GCAUAUCAAUAAGCGGAGGAAAAGAAAACCAACAGGGAUUGCCCCCAGUAACGGCGAGUGAAAGCGGCAACAGCUCAAAUUUGAAAUCUGGCCCCUCUCGGGGUCCGAGUUGUAAUUUGUAGAGGAUGCUUUUGGCGAGGCGCCGCCCGAGUUCCCUGGAACGGGACGCCACAGAGGGUGAGAGCCCCGUCUGGCUGGCCGCCGAGCCUCUGUAAAGCUCCUUCGACGAGUCGAGUAGUUUGGGAAUGCUGCUCAAAAUGGGAGGUAUAUGUCUUCUAAAGCUAAAUACUGGCCAGAGACCGAUAGCGCACAAGUAGAGUGAUCGAAAGAUGAAAAGCACCUUGAAAAGAGGGUUAAAUAGUACGUGAAAUUGUUGAAAGGGAAGCGCUUGUGACCAGACUUGGGCGCGGCGGAUCAUCCGGGGUUCUCCCCGGUGCACUUCGCCGCGUCCAGGCCAGCAUCAGUUCGUCGCGGGGGAUAAAGGCUUCGGGAACGUGGCUCCCCCGGGAGUGUUAUAGCCCGUCGCACAAUACCCUGCGGUGGACUGAGGACCGCGCAUCUGCAAGGAUGCUGGCGUAAUGGUCACCAGCGACCCGUCUUGAAACACGGACCAAGGAGUCGUCUUCGUAUGCGAGUGUUCGGGUGUCAAACCCCUACGCGUAAUGAAAGUGAACGCAGGUGAGAGCUUCGGCGCAUCAUCGACCGAUCCUGAUGUUCUCGGAUGGAUUUGAGUAAGAGCAUACGGGGCCGGACCCGAAAGAAGGGUGAACUAUGCCUGUAUAGGGUGAAGCCAGAGGGAAACUCUGGUGGAGGCUCGCAGCGGUUCUGACGUGCAAAUCGAUCGUCAAAUAUGGGCAUGGGGGGCGAAGACUAAUCGAAUCUUUCUAGGCGGCUGGGUUCGCCGAA